rnacentral:rRNA from 1 species
GACGAACGCUGGCGGCGUGCUUAACACAUGCAAGUCGAACGGAAAGGCCCUGCUUUUGUGGGGUGCUCGAGUGGCGAACGGGUGAGUAGCACGUGAGUAACCUGCCCUUGACUUUGGGAUAACUUCAGGAAACUGGGGCUAAUACCGGAUAGGAGCUCCUGCUGCAUGGUGGGGGUUGGAAAGUUUCGGCGGUUGGGGAUGGACUCGCGGCUUAUCAGCUUGUUGGUGGGGUAGUGGCUUACCAAGGCUUUGACGGGUAGCCGGCCUGAGAGGGUGACCGGCCCCAUUGGGACUGAGAUACGGCCCAGACUCCUACGGGAGGCAGAAGUGGGGAAUAUUGCACAAUGGGCGGAAGCCUGAUGCAGCAACGCCGCGUGCGGGAUGACGGCCUUCGGGUUGUAAACCGCUUUCGCCUGUGACGAAGCGUGAGUGACGGUAAUGGGUAAAGAAGCACCGGCUAACUACGUG